CACUGGGACUGAGACACGGCCCAGACUCCUACGGGAGGCAGCAGUGGGGAAUCUUAGACAAUGGGGGAAACCCUGAUCUAGCCAUGCCGCGUGAUCGAUGAAGGCCUUAGGGUUGUAAAGAUCUUUCAGAUGGGAAGAUAAUGACGGUACCAUCAGAAGAAGCCCCGGCUAACUCCGUGCCAGCAGCCGCGGUAAUACGGAGGGGGCUAGCGUUAUUCGGAAUUACUGGGCGUAAAGCGCACGUAGGCGGAUCAGAAAGUCAGAGGUGAAAUCCCGGGGCUCAACCCCGGAACGGCCUUUGAAACUCCUGGUCUUGAGGUCGAGAGAGGUGAGUGGAAUUCCGAGUGUAGAGGUGAAAU
rnacentral:rRNA from 1 species